UCCUCGGCCUGCUGCGGGCAGAUGAAGUGGACGUGCGUGUCGAUCCCACCCGCGGUGAGGAUCAGGCCCUCGCCCGCGAUCACCUCGGUCGACGCGCCGAUCACGACCGUCACGCCGGGCUGGAUGUCGGGGUUCCCCGCCUUGCCGAUGCCCGCGAUCCGCCCGUCCUUCAGACCGACGUCGGCCUUCACGAUUCCCCAGUGGUCCACGAUCACGGCGUUGGUGAUCACGGUGUCCACACAAUCCGCGCGAAGGGCCUGGCUCUGCCCCAUUCCGUCCCGGA
rnacentral:sRNA from 1 species